rnacentral:pre_miRNA from 1 species
GAAGGGCAAUCUGUCUUUAAGUAGGGGCGAAUUACUCUAAAAGAAAUGAACCCUAGAUAGUUUCCCCUUCAAGUCAAGCUUCUUG